CUUUAUCUGAAAUAUUAAAAAAUAGAUUUGAUUUUAAGUUCCUUGAGGUCAGGGGCUGUCUUUCAUCUCUUUUUUAUAUUCCCAGAGCUUAGCAAAGUAGCUGGCACAUAGCAGGUGCUUAAUAAAUGUUUAUUGGUUGAAUGACUGAUUGAUUAGAUCAUCUCUAAGACUGCUUCCAGCUCCAAAUCUAUGAAUCGCUUUUGGGCCACUGAAGCCACUGACUACAUUGGACCAAUGAGGCAACAUAUAGUUAGAGUACCAGGCCUAGAGACAAUAAAAACAGAAUCAUUCAAAUAUAUCCUCAGACCUUUACUAGCUGUGACCCAAGAGAAAGAAACUGAGGUACAAUCUGAUGAUGAAAUUAGAAGACCAACUCCAAAAAGAUAA
rnacentral:lncRNA from 1 species